rnacentral:rRNA from 1 species
GAUGAACGCUGGCGGCGUGCCUAAUACAUGCAAGUCGAGCGAACAGAUAAGGAGCUUGCUCCUUUGACGUUAGCGGCGGACGGGUGAGUAACACGUGGGUAACCUACCUAUAAGACUGGAAUAACUCCGGGAAACCGGGGCUAAUGCCGGAUAACAUUUAGAACCGCAUGGUUCUAAAGUGAAAGCUGGUUUUGCUAUCACUUAUAGAUGGACCCGCGCCGUAUUAGCUAGUUGGUAAGGUAACGGCUUACCAAGGCAACGAUACGUAGCCGACCUGAGAGGGUGAUCGGCCACACUGGAACUGAGACACGGUCCAGACUCCUGCGGGAGGCAGCAGUAGGGAAUCUUCCGCAAUGGGCGAAAGCCUGACGGAGCGACGCCGCGUGAGUGAUGAAGGUCUUCGGAUCGUAAAACUCUGUUAUUAGGGAAGAACAAAUGUGUAAGUAACUGUGCACGUCUUGACGGUACCUAAUCAGAAAGCCACGGCUAACUACGUG